AUUGAACGCUGGCGGCGGGCCUAACACAUGCAAGUCGAGCGAGCGGCGGACGGGUGAGUAAUGUCUGGGAAACUGCCUGAUGGAGGGGGAUAACUACUGGAAACGGUAGCUAAUACCGCAUACCAUCAGAUGUGCCCAGAUGGGAUUAGCUAGUAGGGGGGGUAACGGCUCACCUAGUCGACGCUCCCUAGCUGGUCUGCGAGGAUGACCAGCAAAACUGUGACUGAGACACGGUCCAGACUGCGACGGGAGGCAGCAGUGGGGAAUGUUGAACAAUGGGCGCAAGCCGUAUGCAGCCAUGCCGCGUGUGGGAAGAAGGCCUUCGGGUUGUAAAGCACUUUCAGCGGGGAGGCGUUACCCGCAGAAGAAGCACCGGCUAACUCCGUGCCAGCCGCCGCGGUAAUUC
rnacentral:rRNA from 1 species